rnacentral:rRNA from 1 species
UCUGGUUGAUCCUGCCAGUAGUGAUAUGCUUGUUUCAAAGAUUAAGCCAUGCAUGUCUAAGUAUAAGCGAACUUAUACAGUGAAACUGCGGAUGGCUCAUUAAAACAGUUUGAAUUUAUUUGAUGAAUGUAUGAGAAUACUACUUGGAUAACCGUAGUAAUUCUAGAGCUAAUACAUGCAACGACGCCCGACCGUUUCACUACGGAAGGGCUGUAUUUAUUGGAUACCAAAACCAUCCUUCCCUCGGGAAGUUUUGUUUGAUGAUUCACAAUAACUGAUCGGAUCGCCACUGUGGUGGCGACAGGUCAUUCAACAUUCUGCCCUAUCAGCUUUCGAUGGUUGUGUAGUGGACAACCAUGGCCAUAACGGGUAACGGAGAAUCAGGGUUCGAUUCCGGAGAAGGAGCUUGAGAAUUGGCUACUACAUCUAAGGAAGGCAGCAGGCGCGCAAAUUACCCAAUCCCGAUUCGGGGAGGUAGUGACAAAAAAUAACAAUACCGGGCCUUUUUGGGCUUGGUAAUUGGAAUGAGGGAGAGUUAAACGGACCAUCGAGUAUCCAUUGGAGGGCAAGUCUGGUGCCAGCAGCUGCGGUAAUACCAGCUCCAAUAGCGUAUAUUAAAGUUGUUGCAGUUAAAAAGCUCGUAGUUGGACUUGUGUGCGCUGUCCGCGGGUGGCCUGCGCCCAAAAGGGCGUUUCGGUUCGGCCCCGGUGGCGCCUUGAAAUCUGCAGCUGGGGGGACGUUGGCCUUAACUGGUCGGCGACCGCACGCCGGCUGCUCGGUUACUGUGAGAAAAUUAGAGUGUUCAAGGCAGGCAUUGGGUGCAAUUGAAUACAUUAGCAUGGAAUAAUAAAAUAUGGCUCCUGCCGUAUUUUGUUGGUUUUGACUGGUGGGAGUAAUGAUUGAUAGGGACGGUUGGGGGUGCUAGUAUUGAGCGGCCAGAGGUGAAAUUCAUGGAUUCGCUCAAGACUAACUUAUGCGAAAGCAUUCACCAAGGACGUCCUCUUUAAUCAAGAACGAAAGUUGGGGGAUCGAAGACGAUCAGAUACCGUCGUAGUCUCAACCAUAAACUAUGUCGACUUGGGAUCGGCGGUAGUUUUUUCAUUAAGACACUGUCGGGACCACGGGAGAAAUCAAAGUGUCUGGACUCUGGGGGAAGUAUGGUCGCAAGGCUGAAACUUGAAGGAAUUGACGGAAGGGCACCACCAGGAGUGGAGCCUGCGGCUUAAUUUGACUCAACACGGGGAAACUUACCAGGUCCAGAGAUUUAGAGGAUUGACAGAUUGAGGCUCUUUCUUGAUCACUUCGGUGGUGGUGCAUGGCCGUUCUUAGUUGGUGGAGUGAUUUGUCUGGUUAAUUCCGUUAACGAACGAGACCUCAGCCUGCUAGUGUAGUC